GAGUUUGAACCUGGCUCAGGAUGAACGCUGGCGGCGUGCUUAACACAUGCAAGUCGAACGGGGAUGCCAUUUUUGAAGCGAUUAGCUUGCUGAGAGUGGAAAUGUUGGCAUCUUAGUGGCGGACGGGUGAGUAACGCGUGGGGAACCUGCCCUGUACAGGGGGAUAACACUUAGAAAUAGGUGCUAAUACCGCAUAAGCGCACAGUAUCGCAUGAUACAGUGUGAAAAACUCCGGUGGUACAGGAUGGACCCGCGUCUGAUUAGCUGGUUGGCGGGGUAACGGCCCACCAAGGCGACGAUCAGUAGCCGGCCUGAGAGGGUGAACGGCCACAUUGGGACUGAGACACGGCCCAAACUCCUACGGGAGGCAGCAGUGGGGAAUAUUGGACAAUGGGGGGAACCCUGAUCCAGCGACGCCGCGUGAGUGAAGAAGUAUUUCGGUAUGUAAAGCUCUAUCAGCAGGGAAGAAAAUGACGGUACCUGACUAAGAAGCCCCGGCUAACUACGUGCCAGCAGCCGCGGUAAUACGUAGGGGGCAAGCGUUAUCCGGAUUUACUGGGUGUAAAGGGAGCGUAGACGGUGCAGCAAGUCUGAUGUGAAAGGUCGGGGCCCAACCCCGGGACUGCAUUGGAAACUGUUGAAUUGGAGUACAGGAGAGGUAAGCGGAAUUCCUAGUGUAGCGGUGAAAUGCGUAGAUAUUAGGAGGAACACCAGUGGCGAAGGCGGCUUACUGGACUGUAACU
rnacentral:rRNA from 1 species